rnacentral:rRNA from 1 species
AUUGAACGCUGGCGGCAUGCCUUACACAUGCAAGUCGAACGGCAGCACGGGUGCUUGCCCCUGGUGGCGAGUGGCGAACGGGUGAGUAAUACAUCGGAACAUGUCCUGCAGUGGGGGAUAGCCCGGCGAAAGCCGGAUUAAUACCGCAUACGAUCCACGGAUGAAAGCGGGGGACCUUCGGGCCUCGCGCUAUAGGGUUGGCCGAUGGCUGAUUAGCUAGUUGGUGGGGUAAAGGCCUACCAAGGCGACGAUCAGUAGCUGGUCUGAGAGGACGACCAGCCACACUGGGACUGAGACACGGCCCAGACUCCUACGGGAGGCAGCAGUGGGGAAUUUUGGACAAUGGGCGAAAGCCUGAUCCAGCAAUGCCGCGUGUGUGAAGAAGGCCUUCGGGUUGUAAAGCACUUUUGUCCGGAAAGAAAUCCUUGGCUCUAAUACAGUCGGGGGAUGACGGUACCGGAAGAAUAAGCACCGGCUAACUACGUG